ACAGAGGAGCAUGGUCAAGAACUGGGAGAACCCCCAGGGAGCCAGAAGUCCCUAUUAUUAUCUGCUGGCCUGAAUUGCCCUUGGAAUUCCAAGCUCACACCUGGGUAUCCUGGACUAGGGAAUGGACCCAGACCAGCUCGCCUUGGUAAUCUGGAGCAGCAAGCCACACAAUACAAUACAUUCCUUUGCCAGCAGAUCUGUUACUAAAGGAAUUCAUGCAUCUUGCAUCUUGAAGAUGCAUUAUUAAUGCCUGGACAAAUCACAUCAGGUGAAACGCAGCAAGUCCCUGGCACUGAAAAAAAGGAACAAAGGCUGGUUCUACAAGAGAGGGAUGGAUGAGACAAAUUAUAACAGCUGGGAGUUUCUUGUCACUUCGGUCAUGUCCGACUCUGUGCAACAAUAUGGACUGUAGCCCACCAGGCUCCUCUGUGCAUGAGAUUCUCCAGGCAAGAGUACUGGAGUGGGUUGUCAUGCCCUCCUCCAUGGGAUCUUCCCAACCCAGGGAUCCAACCUGUGUUUCUUGUAGCUCCUGCAUUGACAGAUGACUUUGUGAUUGAUGACCCAGCUGAGGAAAUCAUUUACAAAUACAGGCCAAAAUCCAGCCCGCUGAUGGAGCUCAUCUCAUAUUCCCUUGGUCCUCUGAGUGUGGCUCUUUGAUUGACACCACUGGUAUUGUGAUAACCCAAGAGAAAAAUCUUGCCUCUAGACACAACAAAGGCCCUUAAAUUGACUCACUCUUAUUGAAAUAGAGUGAAACUUUGUUAGUCUCUUUUUUAGCUGAUGGAAGUUUUAGUGCAUAUAUAUUUUUAAUGCUGUGUGGUGAAAAUAUUACACUGGAAGUAAUAUUGGUUGAUUGACAUUUUAAAAU
ensembl:lncRNA